rnacentral:rRNA from 1 species
UACAGAGGUCCCAAGCGUUGUUCGGAUUCAUUGGGCGUAAAGGGUGCGUAGGGGGCGCCGUAAGUGGGGUGUGAAAUUUCGGAGCUUAACUCCGAAACUGCAUUCCAUACUGCGGUGCUUGAGGACUGGAGAGGAGACUGGAAUUUACGGUGUAGCAGUGAAAUGCGUAGAGAUCGUAAGGAAGACCGGUGGCGAAGGCGGCAUCCUGGACCAACACUGACACUGAGGAGCGAAAGCCAGGGGAGCAAACGGG